rnacentral:rRNA from 1 species
GAUAAACGCUAGCGGCAGGCUUAACACAUGCAAGUCGAGGGGCAGCAUAGAUUGUAGCAAUACAAUUGGUGGCGACCGGCGCACGGGUGCGUAACGCGUAUGCAACCUACCCGUCACAGGGGGAUAAUCCGGAGAAAUCUGGUCUAAUACCCCAUAACAUAUGGAUCGGCAUCGGUUCAUGUUGAAAUUUUCGGAGGUGACGGAUGGGCAUGCGUAGCAUUAGCUUGUUGGUGAGGUAACAGCUCACCAAGGCGACGAUGCUUAGGGGGACUGAGAGGUUUUCCCCCCACACUGGUACUGAGACACGGACCAGACUCCUACGGGAGGCAGCAGUGAGGAAUAUUGGUCAAUGGGCGCAAGCCUGAACCAGCCAUGCCGCGUGCAGGAUGACGGCUCUAUGAGUUGUAAACUGCUUUUGUACGAGGGUAAAGUGGGUUACGUGUAGCCUUUUGAAAGUAUCGUACGAAUAAGGAUCGGCUAACUCCGUGCCAGCCGCCGCAGUAA